GGACUGUCAAAGAGAGAGCAGCCUUUGAGGCAGGCAAAGAAAAGUAAGGCACGCAGUCAAACGGCACAGCAGAUAACUACUCAGUGAGCGACUACCGAAAACCACCAAAAAGAGGAGAACCUGAGAAUAAGGGAAGAGCAGAAGAGGUGAGCGAAGCGAGGACAGAUUAAGAGCAGCGUGGACAGAUGAGCAGUGAAUGGGAUUUUCUUUCUGUGCGCCUUCUCACGUCUCCACGUGCAGCCUGUCAUCAGUAUCUAUGGAAUUAUCCCUCUUUGCUCUAAUCUUAACCUGACUGCUAAUCUCAGGCUGCGUCUGAGCCCUCCUCCUCCGGAUGACGUGUCCCAUAAACAAACUAACCCACUGCCAGAUACGACGCUCUGCAGGGAACUCCUCCGGGGAAGAAAUUAUUUGUUCAUCAGCGUCUCCUCCUCAUCAGCUGGUUUUCUAGUUUCUCACACUUAGUCUGGGCUUGGCUGAGUUUGACGAGACAAGAAAAAGCUCUCACAGGGCAUCCACCUCCUUUCUGCCUCAUCAGGAUGGAUGCCAGAGAAGAGACACUGAACCUCCUGAACAGGGUGUGGGACAAGCUGCGAGGUCUGCCUAACGCCAACCCUAUAGAGCUGGGAGCUUUCUUCAUCCUCUUAAGCUUCAUCCUGAUGGUCCUGCUAAUGAUAGUGCUGACCUGCGUGAGCUGCUGCUGCUGUCGCAAGAUCAAGCUAAAGGGACCCAGCGUUUGAUGAAUUUGCUUUAAGCAUCAAGAAUUAAUUAAACAGCCGAUCUCUGGAUGCCAAACUUUCUAAUCUGGCAUCGAAGCACGGUAGAUGGGGCAAAACAUCCUUGAAACACAAAACAGACUUUUUCUGCAGCUCUCUCAAGCACAAAGUGUCUUCCAAAGUGAAUGAAAACUAAUUUUCAGGAGUCCUGGGCAUGUAAUAGACACACAUAAACAGGGUGUGUCAGUGACACUUAUGAGGCCCAACCCUUGGACAGCAAAGCACCUGACAAACACACAGCGACACAGAGAACGACGUCCUGAAAGGCUGCCAAACACACCUGCUAAAGCUGCCAAACCUUCAGGAGAAUCUACUUUUCCCCAAGCAUCCCUGCAUAACAACAACACCUCUGGCCUGAGGAAAAGGCAGGGCCGGCUCCCACUGUCUUUAAUAAUGCAGGCGAUGCUUGGAAUAUACAGGAUUAAACCUGCGUAGGGCUAAUUAAAAAACUGCAAGCUGCACAGUGAGAUAUGAAAGGAAAAGCCAAAUUGGUUUGUUAAUGCUUUUCUGAACCCAACUAUGUGUCAUUCUUAGAGAAUGAAAAUUAGCCAUCAGACACAGAGUUAGGUAAGAAGCUCCUAAGGGGGAAACCUGAAAGCGUGCUUUCUUACAUACACAAGAAAGCAUGAAGAGAGAGCAAGUGUGCCCUCUGCUGUACAGAAAGGGACUAUAAUGUCUUAAGCUAUGUUUAUAUCUAAAACUGCAUGUUAUAAAUGUGCAAUAGUUGAAGCCGUUAUGUAAUGAUGUGAUGCUUUGACUCCACACUUGUUGUACUGCUUACUUUGACUUGUACAUAAUUUUUUAAAAAAGAAACUUUAACAGCA